AUGAGAAUAAGGGGAGAGCUUGCUACCAUGCAACGCCGAAGGAGCAAGUGUUUGGUAAUGUGUUACCUGCACGAAUCUCUCAGGCAAAAAAGACUCUUAUUUGACG
rnacentral:ncRNA from 2 species